rnacentral:rRNA from 1 species
CACGUAGGUGGCAAGGUAAGUCAAAGGUGAAAGCCCUCGGCUCAACCGAGGAACUGCCUUUGAAACUGCUUUGCUUGAGUCCGGGAGGGGGGAGCGGAAUUCCCAGUGCAGCGGUGAAAUGCGUAGAUACUGGGAGGAACACCGGUGGCGAAGGCGGCUCCCUGGACCGGUACUGACACUGAGGUGCGAAAGCGUGGGUAGCAAACA